AUGAGAAAAGCAAGUAAGUCCCCGUUGACUUCGUUGUUUACUUGCUUCGUCACUUCCGUUUUUUUCUUCUAGAGCACUGGUUCACUGGCUGAACAGCCAAUCAGAAUGAUCAGAUGGCCCGACUGACUGACAAGCCCCGACGCCGAUUCAACAUGUCGAGUCGGCCAUUACAAAGCCGACGAGGAACAAUUUCAGCCGACGGUGCGGAACACACUGAGAAGAUUUAGUCGGCCGACGCACGAAAACUGCCCGACGGCCGACCGUCGGCUUGGUGUGUUCCAGGCUUGAUGCACCCUAACCAUAAGAACCUUUCAGUACAAUGCAUGCUGGAAACUAGAAAUCCACUGGACAAUUUUCAAAGGUAUCAAGACAAUUUCAUUAAGAUUUGGAGCAAUUUAGCAUUUCAUCACUUGCUCAACAAAGGAUCCUCUGCAGUCAAUGGGUGCCAACAGAAUGAGAUUCCAAACAUCUGAUAAAAACAUAAAAUCCACAGAAAAGAUGACUUCUUCACUUGAGAAAGCAAUGCCAUGGAUACAGGAUUCUGCAGAAAUUGAAGUUACAACAUCUUAGAUGGAAUUGUUUCUAAUGAGCUUUUUGCUUGACAGGAUGUUAACUGAUGGACUGGAGUGGUGUGAAUUACUUGUGGAUUAUUGUGAUGUUUUUAUCAGCUGUUUGGACUCUUAUUCAUUUAUAUUCAUUUAUAUGGAGUAUCCAUUUGGUGAGUGAGUGAUGCAAUGCUACAUAUUUUCCAAAUCUGUUCUGAUGAACUUGGAUGGCCUGAGUGAUUAUUUAUUUAUUUUAUUUUAUUUUAUUUUAUUUUAUUUUAUUUUAUUUUAUUUUAUUUUAUUUUAUUUUAUUUUAUUUAUUUAUUUCUGCAAAUGUUAAUUUUUGGGUGAACAAUUUUUUUAGAGU
ensembl:lncRNA